UACGAAGGUGGCAAGCGUUGUUCGGAUUUACUGGGCGUACAGGGAGCGUAGGCGGUUGGAUAAGCCCUCCGUGAAAUCUCCAGGCUUAACCUGGAAAGUGCAGAGGGGACUGUUCAGCUUGAGUACUGAAGAGGAUCGCGGAAUUCCCGGUGUAGAGGUGAAAUUCGUAGAUAUCGGGAGGAACACCAGUGGCGAAGGCGGCGAUCUGGGCAGAUACUGACACUGAGGUGCGGAAAGCGAUGGGGAGCA
rnacentral:rRNA from 1 species